AUAGCGGAGGAAAAGAAACUAACAAGGAUUCCCCUAGUAACGGCGAGUGAAGCGGGAAGAGCUCAAAUUUGAAAUCUGGUAGCCUUCGGUUGCCCGAGUUGUAAUCUAGAGAAGUGUUUUCCGUGCCGGCCCAUGUACAAGUCCCUUGGAACAGGGCGUCAUAGAGGGUGAGAAUCCCGUCCUUGACAUGGACCCCCGGUGCUUUGUGAUACACUUUCAACGAGUCGAGUUGUUUGGGAAUGCAGCUCAAAAUGGGUGGUGAAUUCCAUCUAAAGCUAAAUAUUGGCGAGAGACCGAUAGCGAACAAGUACCGUGAGGGAAAGAUGAAAAGCACUUUGGAAAGAGAGUUAAACAGUACGUGAAAUUGUUGAAAGGGAAACGAUUGAAGUCAGUCAUGCUCUUGGGACUUACCUCCCUUGAGUGGGGUCAACAUCAGUUUUGAUCGAUGGAUAAAGGCACGGGGAAGGUAGCACUCUCGGGUGAACUUAUAGCCUCGCGUCAUAUACAUUGAUUGGGACUGAGGAACGCAGCAUGCCUUAUGGCCGGGAUUCGUCCACGUACAUGCUAGGUAG
rnacentral:rRNA from 1 species